AACGAACGCUGGCGGCAUGCCUAACACAUGCAAGUCGAACGAGACCUUCGGGUCUAGUGGCGCACGGGUGCGUAACGCGUGGGAACCUGCCCUUAGGUUCGGAAUAACUCCCCGAAAGGGGUGCUAAUACCGGAUAAUGUCUUCGGACCAAAGAUUUAUCGCCUUUGGAUGGGCCCGCGUUGGAUUAGCUAGUUGGUAGGGUAAAAGCCUACCAAGGCGACGAUCCAUAGCUGGUCUGAGAGGAUGAUCAGCCACACUGGGACUGAGACACGGCCCAGACUCGUACGGGAGGCAGCAGUGGGGAAUAUUGGACACUGGGGGAAAGACUGAUACAGCAAUGCCGGGUGAGUGAUGCAGGCCUUAGGGUUGUAAAGCUCUUUUACACGGGAUGAUAAUGACGGUACCGGGAGAAUAAGCACCGGCUAACUCCGUG
rnacentral:rRNA from 1 species